AUACGCAUGAUCUCUGCAUGUCACAGAUUUAAAUCAGCGCAAAGGCCUAUAGGCAAAAAUAUUUAAAUCUGUGACAUGCAGAGAUCAUGCGUAU
rnacentral:miRNA from 1 species